rnacentral:rRNA from 1 species
UACGAAGGGGGCUAGCGUUGCUCGGAAUCACUAGGCGUAAAGCGCACGUAGGCGGAUCUUUAAGUCAGGGGUGAAAUCCUGGAGCUCAACUCCAGAACUGCCUUUGAUACUGGGGAUCUCGAGUCCGGAAGAGGUGAGUGGAACUCCGAGUGUAGAGGUGAAAUUCGUAGAUAUUCGGAAGAACACCAGUGGCGAAGGCGGCUCACUGGUCCGGUACUGACGCUGAGGUGCGAAAGCGUGGGGAGCAAACAGG